UAAUGUGCAAGGUUAGUACCUCUGAUGUUUUGGAACGUAUCAAUAACCUUUGUGCUCUUGAAUAGUUCAAGGCCUCUGUGUAGACACAAUUGUUGGUAUGCAAAAGGUUAAUUUUCUUCCAUGCUUCAGAGGAGGAUUUGGAGCUUUUUUGUGGAUCUAUAGGGGAGGUUACAGAGGUUCGGAUUGUGAAAGGCAAAGAUUCUGGUGAGAACAAGGGCUUUGCAUUUGUGACCUUUAGAAGUGCAGAAUUAACUUCUAAAGCCUUUGAUGAGCUGAAUAACACUGAAUUCAAUGUAACAUAGUCUUUUGUGCAUCAUUUAUUAUUGCCUUUUUCCCCGCAUAGGCUGAGGACUUAACGGCAAGUUGAAUAUUGAAUUUGAUGUAAAAUUAUUAUUGUUAGCUAAAAGAUUAAUGUGAGUAUUCCUUAGAGCUUUUUUAAGGUUUCUAUUAUUAUUAUUGUGGCCGUUUGCUGUUAUUUAUGAAUGCUGCAAUUGUUGAAUGCUUUUGUGUAAACUCUUUCUCUCCUGGUUAAAAAAAUAAAAUGUUCAACAUCACAAGCAAAGCACCGUUUGUUCAUUGGUAAUGUUCCUAGAAGCUGGGGAGAGCAGGAUCUAAGGAAGGUUGUCCUGGAGGUUGGGCCUGGAGUUAUACUGCUGUUGAACUUAUUAAGGUCAGUGUGAACUAGUUAUACGUCUUUAGGGUAGUUAUCAUUAAUAGUUGAGAUCGUUUAUUUCUUUUUUGUUUAUUUUCAGAACUCCCAGUGCCUUUAAAAAAUUUAUGUUUUACCACAGCCAGUGGUUUAGUUUUUUUGUGCCAAUUACAAGUGUUUUGUACUCAAUUUAUUAAACUCUUGGUCAUAGGAUGCUAAGAAUCCGAGCAAUAAUCGGGGCUUUGCUUUUGUUGACUACCAUAACCAUGCAUGUGCCAAGUAUUCAAGGUAGAAGGUGAUGAAUCCAAAAUUUAAGUUAGGUGAUAAUGCCCCAACUGUGAGCUGGGCUGACCCUAAAAAUGCUGACUCUUCUACUGCUUCAAAAGCCUUGUAAAUUUUUUACUUUGUUUAUAAAAAAUUUAUAGCUUCCUGUCCACACUUGAGGACCAACUAUAGUUAAACUAAUUGGAAUUGAGCCAGAAAUUUUUUUUUUUUUUUUUGGGAGGUGGGGCGCCCCCGAGGGGGGGGGGGGGACAUUAGUAAAAUUAUUUAUAUAAUAAGAAUAAUUCUUCAAUCCUUCAUUGAAGAAUUAAACAUUUGAUGCUUGACCCCUUUAUGGAACACAUAAAGACUGAAGAGUUUAUGAAAUAGUUUAUACUUUCUAAAUCAAGUACCAAAAAAACAUUCUUUAACCAUUUCAAGUACUGUUUUAGAACAUGCAAUAAGAAUUUAAAAUCAUCUAAGUUUAAACAAUUUUAAACAGUGCAAACAUUGUAGAAAUCUUAGUUAAAAACUCAUUUUUUCACUAGAGAUGGUUUAGUUCCAAACAUCAUCUUGCCAAGAGUCUUGUAGCUUAGUGGCAUUGCUUGGUCUUCUUCAUAAGGAGAACCAAGGUUCAAAUCCUCCCUCCCCCACUAAUUGUAACAAUUGAAAUUUUUAUUAAAUUUUUAAAGUUCAUAAAAUCAUCUUAAAAUAUGGGAGAGCGGUUAAAACAUCGUUUGAAUUUCAAAUUUUCAUAUUCAAGACUAAAAAGAUUAUUUUGAAAUAAUAUAAAAAUCAUGGAGUUUAAGGCGUCGACUUCUAAGAACCUAAUAAGCAUACAUGUGCAUAUCAUGCAUAGUCACAACUGCUCACAAAGCCUCCACAAGUAUGUGUGUGUGUGUAUUUGAUAAGUCAAAACCUCCCCAAAUAUAGUUUUGAGCAUUCUUGUAUGUAGUCUCAUAGUGGAAGCUAAGAACUUCCCUUAUAGAACUUUUAAUUGUCCAACUUCAACUCCUAAAACACAUGCAUCAAAACAAUCUAAUAACCACCUUAGAAUCCUCUAAUUUGUUUUAUCUGUACCACUUUUAGACUUACCUGUUGAUAUUUAAGCUUUUCUGGGUACAAAAAUUAAAAAUAUCAAUUUAUCAAAUUAGGGAUGACAUCCCUGGGGAGGUACAUUUUAAGCUUUGAAAAAUAAUCAAUUUUGGUGGUUACUAGCAGGUAGCUUUUCAACCUUAAACCUGGUUUUUACAAAAUAAGCUUUUCAUAUUGAAUUUGCCCUUCUUUGUGAAAGCUGUCUCUGUAAUGCUGAAUAUUCACAAAUAACCAGAAAUGCUAAAAGUAUCGUAAAAGUUAAAUAAAUUCUUGGGCCUUGGUCUAAUUUUUGAAGUGGUUUUCAGAAGUGAUUUGUUAAGAGAAGACAAUACCAUAUCAAGGUUCUUAUGAUGAAGAAGGAACUUGAAAAGGAUCCAGCACUUGCACACGAAAACUGGGAUAGGUUUCUUCCGAAAUUCAAGAAGAAGAAUGUCAAACAAAAGAAGGUUAAGACUAAAAGAGAAGAAAACAUAUACACCUUUCCCUCCUCCACAACAACCUAGCAAGAAUUCAUCAUGACUCUGAAAAAGAAAUCAUCAAAGAAGUGGCAAGAGAAACAGGAGAAGCAGAUAGAGAAAACCACAGAAAACAAAGAAAAAGAGAUUCUGCAUUUAUUCCCCUAGAGGUUGUAUUCUAAGGCGCUUUAUACUCAAUCAUCUUCAUUCUAUUGCUGAUGAACUUCAAGUCAAAUAGCUCCUCUUAGUGUUUCCAACAGAGAAAUCCAAGGAACCAAGAAAGAUGGAUACAAAAUCUGAGGAUGAUAAUAAAGAUAUGGGCCAUAUGGUAGCCAAGGCCAUGUCUCUGAAGAAAAAGGCAGAGGAGUUUGGGAAGCAAAAAUCGGUUGAGAAUGUUGAAACUGAAGCCUAUAUUGCUACAGCUGGGGAACCUUCAAAAAAGAAAUCCAAGGGUGCAGAAUCUAGAGCGUGAUGAAUGUUAAUGCAGAAGCUUAUAUUGCAGCCUUGACAGUCUUAUACUGCAACCAAGCUUGUAUCCAUGGUUCUUAGAUGUUGAUAACAAUGAAUCAGGCUUUAAAUUUUGCUGUGUAUGAGAACCCAUUUAUUGAAGAAGAAAAUCCCCUUCAAGCCCUAACAUUUAUGGGGAAUAGAGAGAGCAUCAGGACCCAUUUCUUUGAACUUUUCAAUAACAAACCUACAUUUUAAAUUUCUGGGGCCACGAUCAUCAGAUUCAAAGAGGAGGAGGAGGA